rnacentral:misc_RNA from 1 species
GCUAUAAAAUCAGCCAUUUGGUUCUCAUUCAAGGGGGGAGAUCAACUAACAACGAUUGAGAAAAACAGAUAGAACAACAUUGAAUAAUCGAUUGGGAAUCACAAAAUAGCCCUACUUACAUUUUUUUACUUCUCUGCUUUUCUUUUGGCUUUGAGUUCGAGUAAGUUUGAAGUUGGAAUCUCUUGACGUCAAAGCUCUUGUUUGCUUCCCU